GGCAUAUGCAAAAAGUGAAUACAAACGCAGUUCAGAAAAUGUUUAGUUGGGAAUUGGAUGUGUUACAAAAAAUGUCAACGGUUUAACUUUGCCCACUGGUCUAGAAUUGAGCAAGUUGAAUGUUGCUUGAUAUUAGCUAAGCUAAUUAACUAGCUAAUAUGCAUUAACUAAUGAUCUCCUGUUUCAGCAGCUUGAAUUUCAUCCACAUUUGCUCUGUAAAUUGACGUGUAAUUUUGGCUACGUGUUCAAGAUUUAAACAGUGCAUUUUGAUCUGCUUGCUUCUGCCAGGGGGCAAGUCUGGGGGCGACAGGAUAUGAUGCAGACACAGAAGACACACAUGAUGCAGACACAAAAGACACACAUGAUGCAUGUGUCCUGUGUAUUCGGUGUGUCCUGUGUCUUCGGUAUCUGCAUCAUUACCUGUUCAAUGAGACCGAUGGCACAAAGGACGAGGACAUUUUGGAUGGGGAACCAGCUGCAUCUCAAGAAGCUGCGUCUCCACAACCGUCAGACGAGCUGGGAGGAGCUGAUGAUGAAACAGAACCAGCUGCAUCUCAAGAAGCUGCAUCUCCACAACCGUCAGACGAGCUGGGAGUGGAUGAUGAUGAAACAGGAGAAGCACAUAUUGCCGCCAAAAACUCCUCUAGUCCGCAGGAAACAGAGCGACCGAAAAGCCCAGGCCUGAUCCAGGUUGAGACGCCGACCAAGCGCUUCAAGAAAUAAUGUAUACAUAAUGUAAUGUAUAAGUGUAUAAGCUGCAUGUGACAUUUUUUCAAAUAAACACGUGUUGACUUGGAGUUGUUUGUGUUGUGAUGGAG
rnacentral:lncRNA from 1 species